CUCGUCAUAUCGCACAAGCAACCAGUAAUACAUAAAACUGAAUUUUCUCAUAGAUUGUUCAGUGUGGUGCCUACGACGUCGGCGAAAAUGUUUUUCGGAAACCUGUACACAAUUUCUUUCCUCUAUAUCUCCUUUAUAUUGUACAAUGUUGUUGAAGACGUGUACGGUGAUCGAGAACCAAGGAUGGCGAAUGGCGAUUAUGCUACAGCUGAAGAAUUUCCAUCAAAUGUCUUCAUCCGUGCUGAAUCCAUCCAGCGUAAACGAUAUGAAACAGUAUUCUCUACUUCUCAUUGUGGUGGAUCACUGCUUACCCUCUUUCAUAUUCUCACUGCUGCCCACUGUACUUUGAGCUCCAAUCAAUCUCUUAGCUCCGUGUACCACUACCUUCCACAUGAAAUUUUUGUCGCACUAGGAGUUAAUAGUGUGCAGGAAAUUGUCGAUCAGUACAGUGUCAGGCGAAUAUAUAGACACCAACAAUACCGCAUACCUACCCAUGCUAAUCCUUGGGGAAUUUACGAUAUAGCCAUUCUCGAGAUACAUGAACCGAUAAAUCUAGGUCCUAAACAACACAUUAUUAAUCUGCCAUGCUAUGAUCCAGAGGUGGGUGAUGAAGGUAUAGUGCUGGGAUCCGGACUGACCUCCUCCGAUCUCGCUUCAAUGGGAAAAUUGAAAAAAGGUCUAUUUAAAGUAGUAAACUGCCAGGAUUGGGUGAUAAUUGGCAUUAUCUGCGUUUCGAGCACAACCGCUCAGGUGAUGAAAGGUGACAGCGGUUCUGGCUUCAUAAUCAACAAUAGAAUUGCUGGCAUAGUCUCGUUAGUACCACCCGGGGAGAACUAUUAUAUUUUAACGAAUACCUUUCACUAUUUUGAAUGGAUUUUGAAAAUUAUUGGCCUACCGGAUGAAUUCGACUUCCUGAGUGGAGUUUACUGACGAGUGGGGAUGCAUACAGUAAAGUGAAUCUUUGUCACACUGUGUCAAUUCGAAAUUUGUAGAGAUGAAUUGGAAAUAAAAAACUCUUUUUGUUCCUUUA